CCCUUAGAUGUUCUGGGCCGCACGCGCGCUACACUGAUGCAUUCAACGAGCCUAGCCUUGACCGAGAGGUCCGGGUAAUCUUUGAAACUGCAUCGUGAUGGGGCUAGAUUAUUGCAAUUAUUAAUCUUCAACGAGGAGUGCCUAGUAAGCGUGAUUCAUCAAAUCGCGUUGAUUACGUCCCUGCCCUUUGUACACACCGCCCGUCGCUCCUACCGAUUGAGUGUGUUGGUGAGGAGUUUGGAUUGGCCUCGGAAGGUGGUUCGCCACCGUCCGUAGCUGAGAAGUUCUCCAAACCGCCCCACUUAGAGGAAGGAGAAGUCGUAACA
rnacentral:rRNA from 1 species